AUUGAACGCUGGCGGCAUGCUUUACACAUGCAAGUCGAACGGUAACAGGUUAAGCUGACGAGUGGCGAACGGGUGAGUAAUGCAUCGGAACGUGCCCGGUCGUGGGGGAUAACACUUCGAAAGAAGUGCUAAUACCGCAUACGAUCUGAGGAUGAAAGCGGGGGACCGUAAGGCCUCGCGCGAUCGGAGCGGCCGAUGUCAGAUUAGGUAGUUGGUGGGGUAAAGGCUUACCAAGCCGACGAUCUGUAGCUGGUCUGAGAGGACGACCAGCCGCACUGGGUCGGAGACACGGCCCAGACUCGUACGGGAGGCAGCAGUGGGGAAUUUUGGACAAUGGGCGCAAGCCUGAUACAGCAAUGCCGCGUGAAGGAAGAAGGCCUUCGGGUUGUAAACGGCUUUUGUACGGAGCGAAAAGGCUCUCUCUAAUACAGGGGGCUCAUGACGGUACCGUAAGAAUAAGCACCGGCUAACUACGUGCCAGCCGCCGCUGUAA
rnacentral:rRNA from 1 species